CUCACUGCUCAGCGCGCAUGCGCGCGAGCCCGCUCGGUUUCCCUCCGCCCGCUGGGAGCCAGGCAGCGGUUGCGGCGCGCGAGCCAUUUGCAUUCCCCGGCAGUCAUUUUUAUAUGCGGAGCCAGCCCCUCUUCUCUUCAGCUCCAUCUCCGAGAGAGAAAGAUGACCUAAUACUGUAUUAUCACACGGGCCUGAAGUCGUUUUCUCUCCUUUCUGUAUGCACAUUUGUGAUCAUUUUUAUGAUUGCAAAAACCUAA
rnacentral:lncRNA from 1 species